AUGGUAAACAAAGACACGUUUUUUUGUUCAUUUACUAUCAUUUAUUUGUAAUCGUCUUUGUCAUCAUCAUAUCAUUUAACACAGCUUCUCUUUCAUUAACAGAUGCAAAAUAUUGAAAUAGCAUCAUUGGUAAAAAGUUCCAUGCACACCACAUGCGACAUGAAGCUGACAAGCUGCUGAUGGAGGGAUGCUGCAUGCUGGGACGUUGAUUUCAUCAUCACAGGAUUGUUUGAAAGUUCUGAAGGAUG
rnacentral:lncRNA from 1 species